rnacentral:rRNA from 1 species
GAUGAACGCUAGCGACAGGCUUAACACAUGCAAGUCGAGGGGAAACGGCAUUGAGUGCUUGCACUCUUUGGACGUCGACCGGCGCACGGGUGAGUAACGCGUAUCCAACCUUCCCAUUACUGUGGGAUAACCUGCCGAAAGGCAGACUAAUACCGCAUAGUCUUCGAUGACGGCAUCAGAUUUGAAGUAAAGAUUUAUCGGUAAUGGAUGGGGAUGCGUCUGAUUAGCUUGUUGGCGGGGUAACGGCCCACCAAGGCUACGAUCAGUAGGGGUUCUGAGAGGAACGUCCCCCACAUUGGAACUGAGACACGGUCCAAACUCCUACGGGAGGCAGCAGUGAGGAAUAUUGGUCAAUGGACGGAAGUCUGAACCAGCCAAGUAGCGUGCAGGAUGACGGCCCUAUGGGUUGUAAACUGCUUUUGUAUGGGGAUAAAGUUAGGGACGUGUCCCUAUUUGCAGGUACCAUACGAAUAAGGACCGGCUAAUUCCGUG